rnacentral:rRNA from 1 species
UACAGAGGUCCCAAGCGUUGUUCGGAUUCACUGGGCGUAAAGCGCGUGUAGGCGGCUUUGCAAGUCGGGUGUGAAAGCCCUCGGCUCAACCGAGGAAGUGCGCCCGAAACUGCAGAGCUUGAGUACCGGAGAGGAUGGCGGAAUUCCCCAAGUAGAGGUGAAAUUCGUAGAUAUGGGGAGGAACACCGGUGGCGAAGGCGGCCAUCUGGACGGAUACUGACGCUGAGACGCGAAAGCGUGGGGAGCAAACAGG